UACGUAGGGUGCAAGCGUUGUCCGGAAUUAUUGGGCGUAAAGAGCUCGUAGGCGGUCUGUUGCGUCGGCUGUGAAAACCCGAGGCUCAACCUCGGGCCUGCAGCCGAUACGGGCAGACUAGAGUUCGGCAGGGGAGACUGGAAUUCCUGGUGUAGCGGUGAAAUGCGCAGAUAUCAGGAGGAACACCGGUGGCGAAGGCGGGUCUCUGGGCCGAUACUGACGCUGAGGAGCGAAAGCGUGGGGAGCGAUCCGG
rnacentral:rRNA from 1 species